GACUGGGAGAGCCUGCAACUGGGAGGAAUGAUCUUUGGGGGGCUCCUGUGCAUCGCUGGAAUUGCCAUGGCCCUGAGUGGCAAGUGCAAAUGUAGGCGCAACCAUACGCCCAGUUCCUUACCUGAGAAAGCCACUCCACUCAUCACUCCAGGCUCUGCCAGUACCUGACGAACUGAACACAGGACCAAGUUUGGAGGCAGCUUUUUGAUGACUUCCUGCUGUAUCUCCCCUCUGGAGAUCUUCCUCUCCAAAAUGGCUUCCCGAGAGCACACUAAGUCUUCAGUGACAGGGAAGGGUGUUCCAAAGUUCAUUUUAUAUUAAACUGGUCUUGCUGCUC